UGGGGAAUUUUGGACAAUGGGGGCAACCCUGAUCCAGCCAUCCCGCGUGUGCGAUGAAGGCCUUCGGGUUGUAAAGCACUUUUGGCAGGGAAGAAACGGCGCCGGAUAAUACCUGGCGCAACUGACGGUACCUGCAGAAUAAGCACCGGCUAACUACGUGCCAGCAGCCGCGGUAAUACGUAGGGUGCAAGCGUUAAUCGGAAUUACUGGGCGUAAAGCGUGCGCAGGCGGCUCGGAAAGAAAGAUGUGAAAUCCCAGGGCUUAACCUUGGAAUGGCAUUUUUAACUCCCGAGCUAGAGUAUGUCAGAGGGGGGUAGAAUUCCACGUGUAGCAGUGAAAUGCGUAGAGAUGUGGAGGAAUACCGAUGGCGAAGGCAGCCCCCUGGGAUGAUACUGACGCUCAGGCACGAAAGCGUGGGGAGCAAACA
rnacentral:rRNA from 1 species